AGGACGAACGCUGGCGGCGUGCUUAACACAUGCAAGUCGAGCGGUAAGGCCUUUCGGGGUACACGAGCGGCGAACGGGUGAGUAACACGUGGGUGAUCUGCCCUGCACUUCGGGAUAAGCCUGGGAAACUGGGUCUAAUACCGGAUAUGACUUCAGGUUGCAUGACUUGGGGUGGAAAGAUUUAUCGGUGCAGGAUGGGCCCGCGGCCUAUCAGCUUGUGGUGGGGUAAUGGCCUACGAAGGCGACGACGGGUA
rnacentral:rRNA from 1 species